GAGUGCACUUUAGCCAUAGCAAGAGCAAGAUCAGAGAGAAAUAAGGACUUAUGACCAUUAGACCAGGAGACAGGAAGCGAUGGUUCUGGAAGGGGCUCUGUUACUAACUUUGGGUAAGUCAGCUGAAUCUUUGAUCCUGAGGUUCAGAAUCUGCAAAAUAGAUAAACUCCUCUCUGUUUUACCUACUUCCAGUGGUAUCUUUGAUAAUUCAGGGAUAAUUACUCUGAAUCUACCAGGCUGAUUAAGCCACAGCAGAUCAGCAGGUGAGGUAUUGGAGAGAUUUAUUUUUAAGCCAUUAGCAAAGGUAGGCAAGAAGAGAGGGGCACCAGUCUCUCUACUAUCAAUAGGGUCUGCCCACCUCUGUAAUUUAGCAUUUUAACUAGAGUUGCCAAGAAAGAGUACGUGGAGCUUUGCAUAAGGUGAAAAAGUGGAGAUUGUGUCUGAGAACUGACUAAUAGGAAUGUGUUUUGCAGAGACUAAAGCUUGAUGGAGUAGUCAAAAUUCCUGAAGAGGCAGAAAAGCAUUAAGACAGGAGGGUUACAAUGGCAAACAGAAAAGGGAAGGAGGAAAAAUAAGAACCAGACACUGAGUUAGUCA
rnacentral:lncRNA from 10 species